rnacentral:rRNA from 1 species
AUUGAACGCUGGCGGCAUGCCUUACACAUGCAAGUCGAACGGUAACGGGUCCUUCGGGAUGCCGACGAGUGGCGAACGGGUGAGUAAUAUAUCGGAACGUGCCCAGUAGUGGGGGAUAACUGCUCGAAAGAGCAGCUAAUACCGCAUACGACCUGAGGGUGAAAGGGGGGGAUCGCAAGACCUCUCGCUAUUGGAGCGGCCGAUAUCAGAUUAGCUAGUUGGUGGGGUAAAGGCCUACCAAGGCAACGAUCUGUAGUUGGUCUGAGAGGACGACCAGCCACACUGGGACUGAGACACGGCCCAGACUCCUACGGGAGGCAGCAGUGGGGAAUUUUGGACAAUGGGCGCAAGCCUGAUCCAGCAAUGCCGCGUGCAGGAAGAAGGCCUUCGGGUUGUAAACUGCUUUUGUCAGGGAAGAAAUCUUCUGGGCUAAUACCCCGGGAGGAUGACGGUACCCAAAGAAUAAGCACCGGCUAACUUCGUGCCAGCCGCCGCAGUAA